rnacentral:rRNA from 1 species
CCUACGGGAGGCAGCAGUGAGGAAUAUUGGUCAAUGGGCGGAAGCCUGAACCAGCCAAGUAGCGUGCGGGAUGAAGGCCCUACGGGUCGUAAACCGCUUUUGCCCGGGGAUAACACCCUCCACUUGUGGAGGUCUGCAGGUACCGUGCGAAUAAGGGCCGGCUAAUUCCGUGCCAGCAGCCGCGGUCAUACGGAAGGCCCGAGCGGUAUCCGGAUUCAUUGGGCUUAAAGGGAGUGUAGGCGGGCGUUCAAGUCAGCUGGAAAAUCGCGCGGCUCAACCGCGCCCCGAAGUUGAAACUGGACGCCUUGAGUUCACAACAGGCAGGCGGAAUUCGUGGUGUAGCGGUGAAAUGCAUAGAUAUCACGAGGAACCCCGAUUGCGAAGGCAGCCUGCCGGGGUGCGACUGACGCUGAGGCUCGAAGGUGCGGGUAUCAAACAGGAUUAGAUACCCGAGUAGUC